CUCCUCGUAGUUCAAUGGAUAGAACGAGCGCCUCCUAAGCGCUAGAUACAGGUUCGAUUCCUGUCGAGGAGA
rnacentral:tRNA from 1 species